rnacentral:rRNA from 1 species
UACAGAGGUCCCAAGCGUUGUUCGGAUUCAUUGGGCGUAAAGGUGUGUAGGUGGCGCCGUAAGUCGGGUGUGAAAUUUCGGAGCUUAACUCCGAAACUGCAUUCGAUACUGCGGUGCUUGAGGACUGGAGAGGAGACUGGAAUUCAUGGUGUAGCAGUGAAAUGCGUAGAGAUCAUGAGGAAGACCAGUGGCGAAGGCGGGUCUCUGGACAGUUCCUGACACUGAGACACGAAGGCCAGGGGAGCAAACGGG